rnacentral:rRNA from 1 species
UACGGGGGGGGCUAGCGUUGUUCGGAAUUACUGGGCGUAAAGGGCGCGUAGGCGGUCUAUUAAGUUGGAUGUGAAAACUCUGGGCUUAACCCAGAGCCUGCAUUCAAAACUGAUAGGCUGGAGUUCUGGAGGGGAUAGCGGAAUUCCUGGUGUAGCGGUGAAAUGCGUAGAUAUCAGGAGGAACACCGGUGGCGAAGGCGUUCUGCUGGGCCGUUGCUGACACUGAGGCGCGACAGCGUGGGGAGCAAACAGG